CAGCCAAACAACACAGAUUGCAGUGAUGUGGACGGGAUAUGUCCUCUCAGCUGUGAGAGCGUUGAUGUGAACUGUUACCUUGUUGACAAUAAUGGCUUCACACUGGUCUCAAAGGAAAAAGGGGAUGUGAGUAUUUUAAACAGUUCAUUGAACACACAUUGACCUUUUGUGACAACAUGCCCCAACAGCAUUUAUUCACAGAAUAGAAGCUAGAAGAUGUUGACUUGUGUUAGGUGACGGCUUUAGCUGUGCUCAGGUGUUUCCAGUGCCCAGGGGGUUUGGUGUGAAGGGCAGGUGACAAGA